AGCAGUAGCCGCGGGAAUACGGAGGGUGCGAGCGUUAAUCGGAAUUACUGGGCGUAAAGCGUACGCAGGCGGUUUGUUAAGUCAGAUGUGAAAUCCCCGAGCUUAACUCGGGAACUGCAUUUGAAACUGGCAGGCUAGAGUCUCGUAGAGGGGGGUAGAAUUCCAGGUGUAGCGGUGAAAUGCGUAGAGAUCUGGAGGAAUACCGGUGGCGAAGGCGGCCCCCUGGACGAAGACUGACGCUCAGGUACGAAAGCGUGGGGAGCAAACAGGAUUAGAUACCCGCGUAGUCCCUGUCUCUUAUAC
rnacentral:rRNA from 1 species